rnacentral:rRNA from 1 species
AACGUAGGAGACAAACGUUAUCCGGAGUUACUGGGCGUAAAGGGCGUGUAGGCGGCCUGUUAAGUCUGGCGUGAAAGCUCCCGGCUAAACCGGGAGAGGUCGUUGGAUACUGGCAGACUAGAGGAUGGUAGAGGCGUGUGGAAUUCCGGGUGUAGUGGUGAAAUGCGUAGAGAUCCGGAGGAACACCAGUGGCGAAGGCGACACGCUGGGCCAUACCUGACGCUAAAGCGCGACAGCAUGGGGAGCAAACGGG